rnacentral:rRNA from 1 species
CAAGUCGAACGGAAUCCAUGGUGUAGCAAUACACCGGAAGAUUUAGUGGCGAACGGGUGAGGAUCACGUGAGAAACGUGCCCCAGACUCUGGGAUAACAAUUGGAAACGAUUGCUAAUACCGGAUGACGUCGGAGAACCGCAUGGUUCACUGACGAAAGAUAUUUCGGUUUGGGAGCGUCUCGCGGCCUAUCAGCUUGUUGGUGGGGUAAUGGCCUACCAAGGCAACGACGGGUAGCUGGUCUGAGAGGAUGAUCAGCCACACUGGGACUGAGACACGGCCCAGACUCCUACGGGAGGCAGCAGUGGGGAAUCUUGCGCAAUGGGCGAAAGCCUGACGCAGCAACGCCGCGUGCGGGAUGAAGGCCUUCGGGCUGUAAACCGCUUUCAGCAGGAACGAAAAUGACGGUACCUGCAGAAGAAGGAGCGGCCAACUACGUGCCAGCAGCCGCGGUGACACGUAGGCUCCAAGCGUUGUCCGGAUUUAUUGGGCGUAAAGAGCUCGUAGGCGGUUGAGUAAGUCGGGUGUGAAAACUCUGGGCUUAACCCGGAGACGCCAUCCGAUACUGCUCUGACUAGAGUUCAGGAGGGGAGUGGGGAAUUCCUAGUGUAGCGGUGAAAUGCGCAGAUAUUAGGAGGAACACCGGUGGCGAAGGCGCCACUCUGGACUGAAACUGACGCUGAGGAGCGAAAGCAUGGGUAGCAAACAGGAUUAGAUACCCUGGUAGUCCAUGCCGUAAACGGUGGGCACUAGGUGUGGGUUCCAACUAACGGGAUCCGCGCCGUCGCUAACGCAUUAAGUGCCCCGCCUGGGGAGUACGGUCGCAAGACUAAAACUCAAAGAAUUGACGG